GCGUUAAUCGGAUUUACUGGGCGUAAAGCGUGCGUAGGCGGCCAUUUAAGUCAAAUGUGAAAUCCCCGAGCUUAACUUGGGAAUUGCAUUCGAUACUGGAUGGCUAGAGUAUGGGAGAGGAUGGUAGAAUUCCAGGUGUAGCGGUGAAAUGCGUAGAGAUCUGGAGGAAUACCGAUGGCGAAGGCAGCCAUCUGGCCUAAUACUGACGCUGAGGUACGAAAGCAUGGGGAGCAAACAGGAUUAGAUACCCUGGUAGUCCAUGCCGUAAACGAUGUCUACUAGCCGUUGGGGCCUUUGAGGCUUUAGUGGCGCAGCUAACGCGAUAAGUAGACCGCCUGGGGAGUACGGUCGCAAGACUAAAACUCAAAUGAAUUGACGGGGGCCCGCACAAGCGGUGGAGCAUGUGGUUUAAUUCGAUGCAACGCGAAGAACCUUACCUGGCCUUGACAUACUAGAAACUUU
rnacentral:rRNA from 1 species